UCAGCACCUAUUCCAGACAGUGCCCUUCCACAUUUGUCCUUAAAUGUUUCUUCUGAAAUUGAUCCCAUUUUGUUUGCAACAUAAAGCGCCAGUCUCCUAUCUUCCCUGAAAUCUGUGGUCCUGCCCCCAGGACUACUCAUUGAGCCCACAGCCACCACACCACCUGUUUCAACACCCCGCCGUCCUUGCACCCAUGUCCGUAUGAAGAGGGUGUCCUCCCUUUCAGAUUGCAUUGGUGCCACAAAGAAGUCUAAGACAGACUUCCUAGAGCCAGAGUCCCUUAUUGCUAAGGAGGACCUGUCGGUACCCAAAGACAGCUUUGCUGCUGUCUCCAGCAGGGCUGGGGGUAGGGCUGGGCGAUAUGAUAUAUGAUAUAUCGUGUGACGAUAGAAAAACGUAUCGUUUCAUACUAUGCACUAUCGUUUAUUUCAUUGUGUCGCAAAUCACUCUCUUUACCGCAAUAUUUGGACGUCGUUCUGUCCAUAUGGCAAAGAAUCAUGAAGAUGGAAGAAGAUAACAGCUGCCGUUAUAACUUACAUCUGCAAAGACAUGGCCCCAAUUUACACGGUCGAGAAAUGGGGGUUUCGUGAGUUGGUGCUAACACUCGACCCAAGGUUCCAAAUUCAAAUACCUUUUUAUUUGUUGAGUAUAAUACAAAAUGUAAUAAGAAAUAGGCCUUUACAUGUGGUCAUUUUAUGUAAACUAUUUAUUCAUUGAAUUUACAGAAAAUGUGUGUAUUUUGCCAUAUCGUCCAGCCCUAGUCAGGGGUGUUUGCAUUAAAACCUCAAUGGUGAAAAAUGUGUUGGACCUGGACAAGCUAAAGGAGGAGCACUUGAGUGACUCUGAAAGCACCAGGCCAGGGCCUUGGGACUGCCUGUCUAUACCUCGAUUUGGGGGGGACAUGGGUAAACAGAACUGUGACGCAGUGGGCCGCAGUGCCCUGACUGACUGGAAUAAAUACUCAGGUGCUCUAUCAUGCUCAGAUGAUGAGCUGCUGCCAUCAGACGAGGAUGAUGAGUGCCCUCCCAGCCGAGACCAGCCCCACCUCCGCUUCGAAAAGCAAUGACGGUUUCAGUGUGGAGGCAGACAGCAUAGAGGUGGCCUGGAGGGCACUGAUAGACUGUCCAGGGGGCGCUGGCGGGGGCCAGGCUGAGGUAGCUGUCCUUCUCUGGAAUGACAGGUGUCCGUAUGCUGGGCCUGCUCCACGACACGGUGGUCUUCCUGCUGGAGCAGCUCCAGGGGGCCCGUCGCUGCCAUAGCCACGCCUUCCGCUUCUUUAAACAGAUCAGCCAAGAGGAGGACCUGCCUGUCAACCCCUCUGCCCUGGAAGUUAAAUAUAGAAAUUACAAGGGAAGUCAUUAUUUUGGAAUGUAAAUCAGAAAUUGAGUCCAAGUUGUCUUACAUAUUCAUCUUACAUAUCUUGUUAACAUUUUAACCAACACUUCCUAGGUAUCAUGAGUCGUAGUUUGGAAGAAGUUUAAUAAAUAGAAAUGUAUUCAUUUGGAAAUUUCUGAGAAUUGGCGAAUCACCACAAGUGUAAUUGUGGGAACAGGUAUUACUUUGUCCUCACCUUGCAGUUGAUCAACCCGUACCACUGUCUAGCAAAUGUCUAGUGAAUCUGGGUUUUCCCCUCUGUAGGUGGUUUUCAACUUCAGUGAAAGCUAGUCUCUCUGUGUGGAGUAUUGGUGAAAUGUCUGUUUUGAAUGUAGACAGCUGUCAGGUUUAGAGGAACAAAGGAUGUCUGUGGUUGUUGUGUUUGGAUGUGAGUGUCAUCUCCAACUCCACAGUCUGAGUAAGCUAAAAAUAAGACCUGUAUGAUGUCUAUGCUGCUCCUUUCAUUAACAUAUGAAGAGUGUGUUGAUGAUGUCCACAGCCCAAAUUCGACACCAGUGCUGGGCAAAAAACAACUAUGAUAAAAUUAAGCCUGCAUACUGUAAAAUUUAACGUAACACCUUGUUCCGGUCUUCGACAUGUUCAACUUCCUGGCUUCCCAGCACCGCCAGCUCCCUGACAUCAACCCCUACGAUGAGGAGGAGGAUGAAGUCCCACUCAAAUCCACAAUGGAGAUUAGAGUUAUUGUAUGUUGGCCAUUGCAAAGGAAGCUAGCUAAAUGCUAAUAUCUUAAAAAAGGAAACUUAAAUACUGCAGUAGCUAGUCCA